GACGAACGCUGGCGGCGUGCUUAACACAUGCAAGUCGAACGGAAAGGCCCUGCUUUUGUGGGGUGCUCGAGUGGCGAACGGGUGAGUAACACGUGAGUAACCUGCCCUUGACUUUGGGAUAACUUCAGGAAACUGGGGCUAAUACCGGAUAGGAGCUCCUGCUGCAUGGUGGGGGUUGGAAAGUUUCGGCGGUUGGGGAUGGACUCGCGGCUUAUCAGCUUGUUGGUGGGGUAGUGGCUUACCAAGGCUUUGACGGGUAGCCGGCCUGAGAGGGUGACCGGCCACAUUGGGACUGAGAUACAGCCACGACUCCUACGGGAGGCAGCAGUGGGGAAUAUUCGACAAUGGGCGGAAGCCUGAUGCAGGAACGCCGCGUGCGGGAUGACGGCCUUCGGGUUGUAAACCGCUUUCGCCUGUGACGAAGCGUGAGUGACGGUAAUGGGUAAAGAAGCACCGGCUAACUACGUG
rnacentral:rRNA from 1 species